rnacentral:rRNA from 1 species
UAGCAUAAUCAUUUGCUUUUUAAUUGGGGGCUUGUAUGAACGGCUAAACAAAUGGAUACUUUGGUUAUGGUCUAAAAGUAAUUUGUAUUUUAAGUAAAAAUACUUAAGUAUACUGAAGGGACGAUAAGACCCUAAAAGCUUCAAACAAACUUUUAAUGGGUAAUUUAUUAAAUUUAAUUAGAGGCUAGUUAUUGGCUGGGGAAGUCAAAAUGAAGUUUUCGAUUUUGGUGGGAUACUUUUAUAGAGUUUUUUAGAUCCUUUAUAUAAGGAUAGUUAGUAGUAGUUACUUUAGGGAUAACAGCACAAUGUUUUUGAAGAGAUCUUAUCGAUAAAAUUGUUUGUGACCUCGAUGUUGAAUUAAAAGAUCUUUAUCUAGCAGAAAAGGUAAGAGAGGGUUUGUUCAACCUUUAAAUUUUUACAUGAUUU